CAGGUACAACCUAAGACCCUGUUCUAUCAUCUCCCCUACACCUUAUCUCUCACCACCGUCCUCCACCCACCGAAUCGCUUGUGGCGGUGGUUGGUCUCCAAACUCCCUCAAAUCUUGACCACAUAACCCCUAUUGUCCCUUUACUCCAAAUCCACCGCUAUUUCCUUCCAAAAAUCACGCAUCUUCUCUGAAUUAGAGAUCUAAGGAUAACAAUAAAGUCUCUUUCGCCCCUUUUUCUAAUUUCCUCCUAAUCUGGACUCUUAUUGAUGUUGAACAUACCUUAAUCGAUUAUUUUUUGAUGUGAGGAGUCAAUUGGCUUUGGUUCCAACUAGUCUUGUGGUGGUUGGAUUCUGGGCGAGCAACCAUUGAUGGUCUAAAAUACUUUGAGCCUCUGCUUCAUCUUCUUCUUGCCAGAUAUUGAGGAUUGUAACAUGGAGCACUAGCCGUUGAAGAAAUUCCGGCCAGUGAUCAUGUUACAAUUUCCAUUAUUAGACGAUAUCCUUGUUCGUCGGAUUUGUAAUCGACUCGUUGUUGAUUUCUUCGGGUCACCAGAAUCUUUAGCAAAUUGGCUGGUGCUCCUCUUGAUCUUGGGAUUACCAAUUGGAUAUGAGUCAUGUUUGUAUGGAAGAGACAGGCAUAUCAAGGAAUUGAAAACUCAACUAUGUUCAUGCUUUCAAUUCUUGUAUUCUUUUAAGUCUAUUAGCUUCUUUUUUUCUCUUUUCUCCAGUUUCUUGUUUUUCCAUAUCUGCUAUUUCAAGUUGAUUUUUGGAAUGUUUAAAAUUUUAAUUGCUGAAUUUGUGGUGUGAUUGAACUUUGUUCUUCAUAAGAAUGUGAUUUAAGUUUUGUACUGAUUUAAUUCGUAUCGCUGUCUGAUAUGAAAAAUGGUUGGAAAAUUAAGUGCUUAAGUACAGCUUUAAGUAUGGGGCAGUA